ncrna:unclassified sequences Downstream peptide RNA
ACACGUUGAGCCCACCAGGGCUGCACACAAACCAACCAAGCAACGGGGGUUGGGU